rnacentral:rRNA from 1 species
CCUACGGGGGGCAGCAGUGGGGAAUAUUGCACAAUGGGGGAAACCCUGAUGCAGCGACGCCGCGUGAGUGAAGAAGUAUCUCGGUACGUAAAGCUCUAUCAGCAGGGAAGAAAAUGACGGUAUCUGACUAAGAAGCACCGGCUAACUACGUGCCAGCAGCCGCGGUAAUACGGAGGGGGCAAGCGUUAUCCGGAUUUACUGGGCGUAAAGGGCGCGUAGACGGCAGAACAAGUCUGGAGUGAAAUCCCGGGGCUUAACCCCAGAACUGCAUUGGAAACUGUUCGGCUGGAGUGCAGGAGGGGUAAGCGGAAUUCCUAGUGUAGCGGUAAAAUCCGUAGAGAUUAGGAGGAACACCGAUGGCGAAGGCGGCCUACUGGACUGUAACUGACGUUGAUGCUCGAAAGCGUGGGGAGCAAACAGGAUUAGAUACCCGAGUAGUC